AACGGCCGCGGUAUUUUGACCGUGCAAAGGUAGCGCAAUCAAUUGUCUUUUAAAUGAAGGCCCGUAUGAAUGGCAUAACGAGGGCUUAACUGUCUCCUUUUUUCAGUCAAUGAAAUUGAUCUUCCCGUGCAGAAGCGGGAAUGCUGACAUAAGACGAGAAGACCCUAUGGAGCUUAUAAACGCAAGAGCAGACCAUGUCACUUACUCUUAAUAUAUAAGAUUUUAAACCCACUGAUUCCUGCUCUAAUGUUUUUGGUUGGGGCGACCACGGGAUAAAACAAAACUCCCACGCAGAAUGAAAAUACAGUAUUUUUCAAUUUAAGGUCAACAGUCCUAAAAAACAGAAUCUCUGACUUUUAAUGAUCCGGCUUAAGCCGAUUAACGAACCGAGUUACCCUAGGGAUAACAGCGCAAUCCUCUUUUAGAGUCCUUAUCGACAAGAGGGUUUACGACCUCGAUGUUGGACCAGGACAUCCUAAU
rnacentral:rRNA from 1 species